UGCAGGGCAUGUAUGGGAGCGCUUGCUGGAGGGCAGCUCUCGCCCACCACCGUGCGUGUGCCUGCGAGCCUGCUUGAAACAAAGAGGCUCACACCGGGGAAGCCCCAACUUGGACAAUGCAAAUAUUUCAGCAUCCAAACGGUUAAUGGUGAGUAUUAUAGCUUCAAAAGAGCCCAUUGGCUAACCCUCAAGGAUGCCCUGCAAUUGUUAAACUCAUCAGAUGAAACUACUCUUCUCAGCUAGCCCUUACAUUUGUCUGGCUAACAGUAAAAAUACUAUAAUAAAUCGGGAACAUAUGUUGCCAGACAAGAAUAAGUGAUAUAAAUAAAGAGUCAAGAGACAUAGCCCCUCAAGAACAAUGUGUAAAGAUUUAAACUUUCAAUGUAUUAGUUAAUCUAGGAACAUUUUAGGAGUAACUUGAAAGCGGUGUAUUGUUUGUUUAUAUCAUUCCUUUUUUUUUUUUUCUUUUUCUUUUUUUUCCUUUUCUUCUCUUCAGAUUGCAUUUUAAAUCAAAAUGCUCUCCAUGACUGCCUGCUUUGCAGCACUAGGUUAAUCCAGUUUAUUCAGCAAACACGUCUAAGAGCAACUUAAGGGGAAAAAAAGCUGGAAAUCGCCUCUUCAUAUUUCUAGAUGGCGCGCUGGGGAAGAAUCUGAAGUGGAUCAACCAGGCCCCAGAGGAAGCCGCACGGAAAAACACAAAUAAUAUCAAUAUCGCGCAGCCACGGGAAACAAUGGGGCAGCGCUCGGCGUGACAUGCACGCCGCUAUUGUUUCAAGAGCUGGGGAAUUAAUUCCACUUAUUUAUUUAAGGCGUGUCAACUCGCUGCCUAAACCUGUUUCGGUGUCAAGAUGAAUAAAACUUUUAUGGCUCAUAAAAUAGAGCCAUUCAUCUCAAUGUUCUUUGUGGUGCCUGUUGUUUUUUUUUUUUUUUUUCCUCUCCCCCCGGCAGGCUGAGCCUGGCAGCUCGGUGCUACUGGCUCGCUCGCACCGGCACUGCGCUCGGUUGGCACCUGGAGUGGGUAAUAUCCCCACAUUUCUGCUGGGUCUUAUUUUGCAUGAG
ensembl:lncRNA